UACGUAGGUGGCAAGCGUUGUCCGGAUUUACUGGGCGUAAAGAGCGCGCAGGCGGUCGUGCAAGUCGCGUGUGAAAGCCCCCGGCUCAACUGGGGAGGGUCACGCGAUACUGCUCGACUCGAAGGCAGGAGAGGGAAGUGGAAUUCCCGGUGUAGUGGGUGGAAAUGCGUAGAUAUCGGGAGGAACACCAGUGGCGAAGG
rnacentral:rRNA from 1 species